CAAAUAACAAUUAAAGACUUAAAAAGUUACUUAUUAGCCCAAUAAAAACAAGUAAAGUCACACAUGAUAAUAAAUUAGGCCAUCUGUUGCUUUUUUAUAAGGUUUUGAAUUUGACAAUUUAACAAUAAUACAUGGCUUAACUUGUGAUGCAUUUAGUAAGUUGAAAAAGUAUAGUUGGGCAAGCAAAAUGUUCAUUCGAGCUGUUUGGAUAGAAAAUACAGAGAAAUAAAGUGAGAAAAAUCGAUCGAUAAUUUUUAUGUGCUGGCUAUCAUCAUUAAAUGUAAUAAAUUGUUUCAAUGAAAUGCAUAAACCGCAUCUAACUAAUACAGAUUUACGCUGCUCAAAAUUAAAUGUCAUGGAGAUAAUGAGCCACUACCAUGCUUAUGCAAGAGAAAACAUAAUAACCAACAGAAUAGUAAGCAAGUACCUACUCCUGUAACACAAAAAAAG